GGAAAAACCCCAAGGAGAGCACAAGCUCCAUGUCCUGACCAAUGACAGGAUCUUCCAGUUUAGAUGCAGAGAAGGUUUGGGAGAAGCCAAUGAAUGCCAGGCUGGUGCCAUAGUAACAGUACUACAGAGAAGGACUCCAGUUGCGCUGAUGGCCAUGAAGAGGAAUAAGGAGCAUCAUGUUCGAUCAGAGAACUUUUCAUUGGUCUACUCUUUGUGCUUCUACCACAAAAUGUUCUGAUUGUCAUGGUUUUUCAAUCCAGCAUUUUCCCAGUUUCCUCUGGGGAGCACAGUUUUCCAAACAAGGAAGGACUUCCAUCUCC
rnacentral:lncRNA from 11 species